UAACCUGCUAAAUAGUUAGGCCAACGUUUGUUGGUCGUCAACUUCUUAGAGGGACUAUUGACUAUUAGUCAAUGGAAGUUUGAGGCAAUAACAGGUCUGUGAUGCCCUUAGAUGUUCUGGGCCGCACGCGCGCUACACUGAUCAAGUCAACGAGUUUACAACCUUGGCCGGAAGGUCUGGGUAAUCUUUUGAAACUUGAUCGUGUUGGGGAUAGUCCAUUGCAAUUAUUGGACUUCAACGAGGAAUUCCUAGUAAGCGUGAGUCAUCAGCUCGCGCUGAUUACGUCCCUGCCCUUUGUACACACCGCCCGUCGCU
rnacentral:rRNA from 1 species